rnacentral:lncRNA from 1 species
CCUUACUUACAAAAAGCUAAAUUUCUCGUUUUUCCCACCACUCUCCACACUCACGUCUCCCCCGUUUUCGUUUCUCCAAAGUCGAGUCUCUCCCACACCGACGAUUUUCUCUUUCGAAGUCUUAUUCGAACGCGUUCUCCCGACGCGGUCUCCCAACUGCAACAGUGAGUCCAUAUUUUUAACCAUUGCUCCUACGUUUUUAUCCCCAUCACUCUCAUCAGCUUUCUCAGUCACUCUUUUUCUUUCCUUCGGUGCUACAACUCUACUAUAGAUUCUAGAUCUCAGUCUCUCAGAUGUUUUAGAGCGAUGUUGUUUGUCUUGAUUUUGGAUCUAGGAGUUUCUACCAGAAUUCGGCCGGUAAAAGUUGCUUUUUUCUUUUCUUUUUUAAAAGGGGGGAGGGUUAUAAUUUAUUACAACAAUUGAGUGGGUUUUUUCUCACCAAGGAUUUUUGGAUUUGGGUUUUUUGUUUGUUGGCAGGAAGUGAUUUGAUAUAGUGUAUGUCGAUUUGUUUGUGUGUGUAUAUUUUUGAGGGUAAUAUUUUUGAGGAUGUUCAAUUGACAAUGUGUUAUUAUUCCGAAAGUAGGUGUUGUGGUUGUUCCUGAAGAGGUUGGUGUUGUAGUGCCGGAAGAAGUUGUCGGUUGCUGUUCCUGAAGAAGGUAGCAAUGUUGUUCCGAAAGUAGGUGUUGUUGUUGUUCCUGAAGAAGGUAGCGAUGUUCCGAAAGUAGGUGUUGUUGUUGUUCCUGAAGAAGUUGAUGAUGUUGUUCCGAAAGUAGGUGUUGUUGCUGUUCCUCAAGAACAUGUAACUGAUGUUCGUGAAGCAGUAGAAGAUGUGAAUGAUGUUGUUCCUGAGGUAGAUGGAAAUGUCGGUCAUGAAGCAGAUGUUGCUGAGGUAGAAGCAAGGGUCGUCUCUGAGAAAGAUGAUGUUCAUUUUCGACAUAUUCUGUGUUGGUACGAUGAUUUGUUCAUUUGUAAAACAACGGAAUGAAGAAGUUCCUAUUUCGAAAUGUGAAUAGGUAAUUCAACAUGUAUUGUCUUGGUAAAUAGUUUGUUGGUUUACGGAACAACAGAAUAAAGAAGUCCAUGGUAAUUCGACAUGUACU